CUCAAUUAAAAUAAAAUAAAAACAACAUACUGAAUGGAAUCCUAAAACAAUUUGAAAACCGAAUUGCUCAAGAACAAGUGAACAAAAUUACCGAACAUAACUUUUCAAACAACAUUAUGAACUAAAAUCAAAAUUAAAAACAAGACACUUAAUAAAAUGAUGAACAACAUAGAAUUGAAGAACAUACAAAAAUAAAAUGAAGAGAAGACAUUUAUCUCUUGAAAAACCAAAGCUCUAGAGACCAAAUGUAGUGUUGCCUUCAUGACCGAAUUGGUUUCUUGGAUUUUUGAUGAACUUGUGUGGAAGCUUGAUGGAAGUGACGGACAAAGAUGGCUCCAAUGGAACUAUGGUUUCCUUGAAAGUGCUUUAGAAGUAUGGAGAGUGAUUGGUUGAGUCAUAUCACUUGGAAAAGGUGAAGAAGAAGAUCAAGGUGUCUAUCCUAGAGAGUCUAGACAAGAGAGUGAGAAAGCAUGCAAACUUGACAAAAAUUCACUCAUAUAUUUGAUCUUGGAAUUUCAUGAGCCAAACACCUCUUUAUAUAGGGUAGAGGUCCGACCAAUGUACAAAGCAAAUGGUGGGAAAAUUCAAAUGCUAGAGGUUUGAAAUUGGCACCUAUUUUGGAGUCACAAGGCAAGCAUGACCAAUGUGUGCUUCAUGUGACUCUUUUUAGGUUUAGGACCCACCUAGGUUAAAUUAGGAGUCUUAUAGAAACCCUAAUUUAACCUAGGUUGGUUUUUAGGUACCUAAUUCAACCCUAAUUACAAUUAAGAAAAUUACAAGUAAAAUUCAUAUUCUACUUUUGGCAAGAAAAUAAAUUCUACUCUACAAUUCUACACUAGGUUAUGGCAUUUUUAAACAUGUAGAGGAGGGUGUAUCUGUCAUCAGUAGCAGAGUCUCACUCUUCUUGUAUCUUCAUUGCCAUGUACCUAGUGAUUAGACCUAAACUUGGUCUGAA
rnacentral:lncRNA from 1 species